rnacentral:rRNA from 1 species
UACGAAGGGGGAGCUAGCGUUGCUCGGAAUCACUGGGCGUAAAGCGCACGUAGGCGGCUUGUUAAGUCAGGGGUGAAAUCCUGGAGCUCAACUCCAGAACUGCCUUUGAUACUGGAGAGCUUGAGUCCGGGGAGAGGUGAGUGGAACUCCGAGUGUAGAGGUGAAAUUCGUAGAUAUUCGGAAGAACACCAGUGGCGAAGGCGGCUCACUGGCCCGGUACUGACGCUGAUGUGCGAAAGCGUGGGGAGCAAACA